rnacentral:rRNA from 1 species
AUGAAGAAUCUGAAGGAUCCAAAGACUAAGAUUUAUCCCUCUAUGACGAGGGGAGGUAAGGAACUGCCAGCCAGUUCUGCUUUAGAUUCACCCUCGGUUAUGAGUAAAUUUGCAACACCACCACAUGCUAUCAAUUCUAAUAUGUCUCAAGUUAUUGAUGAUGCUACUUCUACUAUGAAUGAUGCUUAUGAUGAUGCUAGUACCUUGCUUGAUAAUGAUGAUGUGCCACUUGGUGAAUUUCUUGAUAGACAAAUUGCUAGAGUUAUACAACAUGAUGUUGUUGAAUCUGAUGAUGAGCUUCAAACUAAAACUCCUGAAACACCUGCUAGAACUAGCCUUCCUAGAUAUGAAUUGCCUAAGGUACCGGAAGGUUAUGUUAUGAGUGAAGAAGCAACUAGAGAUAUUCUUGCUUGCAAUGAUAGAGAUGAUCUAGAGAAAUUACUACACAAGUAUAAAGAAAAAUCCCUGAAUGCUAGAAUGAAAUGUGAUCCUAAGUUUGCUACUUCACCUAUCUGUAUUGCUGAUAAGGAUUAUAAAUUCUCUAUCGACCCAGAGUUAAUUACUUUGGUUGAAUAUAAUCCUUUCCAUGGUUAUGAAACUAAAACUAUUGUGGCACAUCUUACUAUGUUGAAUGACAUAGCCACCCUUUUUACUCAUGAUGAGAAAACUCGUUAUUACUUUAUUCUCAAAUUAUUUCCUUUCUCACUAAAGGGAGAUGCUAAAGCUUGGUAUAAUACUCUUGCUCCUAGUUGUGUGCGUAGUCCCCAGGAUAUGGUUUAUUACUUCUCUGAAAAAUAUUUUCCUGCUCAUAUGAAACAAGCUGCCUUACACGAAAUAUUUAACUUUGUGCAAAAUAAAGAAGAGAGUCUCCCACAAGCUUGGGGGAGGCUUUGCCAGUUACUUAAUGCUUUGCCUGAUCAUCCUCUUAAGAAAAAUGAAAUACUUGAUAUCUUCUAUAAUGGACUAACUGAUGCUUCUAGGGACUUCCUAGAUAGUUGUGUUGGUUGUGUUUUCAGGGAAUGA